rnacentral:ncRNA from 1 species
AUAAAGUUUAAAUUUGGCUUAAGAAUUUAUUAAGUAUUUCUUUUACAUGUAAAUUUUUGUGAGACUAUAAAUUUAUUUAAAUAAUAAAUUUAGUUAAUUUUUAUUCUCAGUAUAUAAUAUUAUUAAUUUAAGAAAUUUUGAAUUAGGAAUAUAUCUAGUAUUGACUAAAUUUGUGCCAGCAGUUGCGGUUACACAAAUGAUACAAAUAAAUAUUAUUGGACAACAGAUAAGUGUUUAUUUUAAAUUAUAUCUAGUUUUAUUAGGUGAAAUUUUAAUACUAGAAUAAUUUAAUAGAAUAAUUUAUUUUUGUGAAAUUUUUAUAUAAACUAGGAUUAGAUACCCUAUUAUUUAAAAUGUAAAUUAUUUAUUCCAGAGGAGUAGUAGCUAAGUUCUUGAAAUUUAAAAAUUUUGGCGGUAUUUUAGUCUCUUCAGAGGAACCUGUUUUAUAAAUGAUAGUCCACGAUCGACUCGACUCAAGUUAAUAAGUUUGUAUAUCGUCGUUAUAAAUAUUUUAUAAGAAUAUAAAUUUUUAGUAAUUUUUAUAAAUACAUAUAUCAGAUCAAGGUGCAGCAUAUAUUUGAGUAAAAAUGGGUUACAAUAAAUUUAUUUAAACGGAAUGAUGAAGGAAGAUAUUCAUGAAGGUGGAUUUGAUAGUAAUGUUGUUAAAUUAAUCAACAUGAUUGUAGCUCUAAAAUAUGUACAUAUCGCCCGUCGCUCUUAUUAUAAAUAAGAUAAGUCGUAACAUAGUAGAUGUACUGGAAAGUGUAUCUAGAAUGAU